rnacentral:rRNA from 1 species
GUUUCAUUUGAAUUUUUAUAGAAUUUUAUUUUUUAGUUAAAAAGCUAAAAUAAUUUUAAAAGACGAGAAGACCCUAUAAAUCUUUAUAAUUUAAAUUAUUUUUAUAAAUUUAGAUUAUUUAUAUAUUUUUAAUUUAAAUUAUUUUAUUGGGGUGAUAUUAAAAUUUAAAUAACUUUUAAUUUAUUUAUUUCAUAAAUAAAUGUUUUUUUGAUCCAUUAUUAAUGAUUAAAAAUUUAAGUUACUUUAGGGAUAACAGCGUAAUUUUUUUAGAGAGUUCUUAUUGAUAAAAAAGUUUGCGACCUCGAUGUUGGAUUAAGAUAUAAUUUUAAAUGCAGAAGUUUAAAUUUCAAGUCUGUUCGACUUUUAAAUUCUUACAUGAUCUGAGUUCAAACCGGUGUAAGCCAGGUUGGUUUCUAUCUUUAAAUAAAUAAAAUAUUUUAGUACGAAAGGAUUAAAUA